UGGGGAAUAUUGCACAAUGGGCGCAAGCCUGAUGCAGCCAUGCCGCGUGUAUGAAGAAGGCCUUCGGGUUGUAAAGUACUUUCAGCGGGGAGGAAGGCGAUAAGGUUAAUAACCUUGUCGAUUGACGUUACCCGCAGAAGAAGCACCGGCUAACUCCGUGCCAGCAGCCGCGGUAAUACGGAGGGUGCAAGCGUAAAUCGGAAUUACUGGGCGUAAAGCGCACGCAGGCGGUCUGUCAAGUCGGAUGUGAAAUCCCCGGGCUCAACCUGGGAACUGCAUUCGAAACUGGCAGGCUAGAGUCUUGUAGAGGGGGGUAGAAUUCCAGGUGUAGCGGUGAAAUGCGUAGAGAUCUGGAGGAAUACCGGUGGCGAAGGCGGCCCCCUGGACAAAGACUGACGCUCAGGUGCGAAAGCGUGGGGAGCAAACA
rnacentral:rRNA from 1 species